rnacentral:rRNA from 1 species
UUAAGUGAAUAAGGGCGCACGGUGGAUGCCUUGGCACUAGGAGCCGAUGAAGGACGGGACUAACACCGAUAUGCUUUGGGGAGCUGUACGUAAGCUAUGAUCCAGAGAUUUCCGAAUGGGGGAACCCAACAUCUUUAAUAGGAUGUUACGAUUGUGUGAAUACAUAGCACAUUCGAGGUAGACGCAGAGAACUGAAACAUCUAAGUACCUGCAGGAAGAGAAAGAAAAUUCGAUUCCCUGAGUAGCGGCGAGCGAAACGGGAAAAGCCCAAACCAGCAAGCUUGCUUGUUGGGGUUGUAGGACUCCAAUAUGGUAGUUCUUUCAGAUAGUCGAAUGACUUGGAAAAGUCAGUCAAAGAGGGUAAAAACCCCGUAGACGAAAUGUGGAAGACACCUAGGAGGAUCCUGAGUACGGCGGAACACGAGAAAUUCCGUCGGAAUCCGGGAGGACCAUCUCCCAAGGCUAAAUACUCCCUAGUGACCGAUAGUGAACCAGUACCGUGAGGGAAAGGUGAAAAGCACCCCGGAAGGGGAGUGAAAUAGAACCUGAAACCGUGUGCCUACAACAAGCACGAAAUUCCUUAUUCAGAAGUGCGCACGUUCUAUAAAACAGUCUUCAAAGUCUUAGAAGAUAUCGAAAAGCAACGAAGAGACGGAGCCGCAGCGAAAGCGAGUCUGAAUAGGGCGUUUGAGUAUGUAGUCGUAGACCCGAAACCAUGUGAUCUACCCAUGUCCAGGUUGAAGGUGCGGUAAAACGCACUGGAGGACCGAACCCACGUACGUUGAAAAGUGCGGGGAUGAGGUGUGGGUAGCGGAGAAAUUCCAAACGAACUUGGAGAUAGCUGGUUCUCUCCGAAAUAGCUUUAGGGCUAGCCUCGGAAUUGAGAAUGAUGGAGGUAGAGCACUGUUUGGACUAGGGGCCCAUCUCGGGUUACCGAAUUCAGAUAAACUCCGAAUGCCAUUCAUUCAUAUCCGGGAGUCAGACUGUGAGUGAUAAGAUCCAUAGUCGAAAGGGAAACAGCCCAGACCACCAGCUAAGGUCCCAAAAUAUAUGUUAAGUGGAAAAGGAUGUGGGGUUGCACAGACAACUAGGAUGUUGGCUUAGAAGCAGCCACCAUUUAAAGAGUGCGUAAUAGCUCACUAGUCGAGUGACCCUGCGCCGAAAAUGUACCGGGGCUAAACAUAUUACCGAAGCUGUGGAGUACACCUUUAGGUGUAUUGGUAGGAGAGCGUUCUAAGGGCGUUGAAGGCAGAUCGUGAGGACUGCUGGAGCGCUUAGAAGUGAGAAUGCCGGUAUGAGUAGCGAAAGACAGGUGAGAAUCCUGUGAUAUAUUUUGAUAACAGUGCAACAACCCCAAUCUUUCCGCAAAGCUAGUCGGGACCUAAGCCGAGGCCGACAGGCGUAGGCGAUGGAUAACAGGUUGAUAUUCCUGUACCCGUUGUUUUUGUUUGAGCAAUGGAGGGACGCAGGAGGCUAAGGAAUGCAGACGAUCGGAAAUGUCUGUCCAAGCAGUAAGUCUGAAGAGGAGUCAAAUGCUUCUUUUCUUAAGGACAAGCUGUGAUGGGGAGGGAAAUAAUAGUACCGAAGUUCCUGAUGUCACACUGCCGAGAAAAGCUUCUAGUGAGAAAACAGCGGCCCGUACCGCAAACCGACACAGGUAGUCGAGGAGAGAAUCCUAAGGUGAGCGAGAGAACUCUCGUUAAGGAACUCGGCAAAAUGACCCCGUAACUUCGGGAGAAGGGGUGCUGAUCAUACGAUCAGCCGCAGUGAAUAGGCCCAAGCGACUGUUUAUCAAAAACACAGGUCUCUGCAAAAUCGUAAGAUGAAGUAUAGGGGCUGACGCCUGCCCGGUGCUGGAAGGUUAAGAGGAGUGCUUAGCGCAAGCGAAGGUACGAAUUGAAGCCCCAGUAAACGGCGGCCGUAACUAUAACGGUCCUAAGGUAGCGAAAUUCCUUGUCGGGUAAGUUCCGACCCGCACGAAAGGCGUAACGAUUUGGGCACUGUCUCAACGAGAGACUCGGUGAAAUUUUAGUACCUGUGAAGAUGCAGGUUACCCGCGACAGGACGGAAAGACCCCAUGGAGCUUUACUGUAGUUUGAUAUUGAGUGUCUGUACCGCAUGUACAGGAUAGGUAGGAGCCGUAGAAAUCGGAACGCUAGUUUCGAUGGAGGCGCUGGUGGGAUACUACCCCUGCGUUAUGGCCACUCUAACCCGCACCACUAAUCGUGGUGGGAGACAGUGUCAGAUGGGCAGUUUGACUGGGGCGGUCGCCUCCUAAAAGGUAACGGAGGCGCCCAAAGGUUCCCUCAGAAUGGUUGGAAAUCAUUCGAAGAGUGUAAAGGCAGAAGGGAGCUUGACUGCGAGACCAACAAGUCGAGCAGGGACGAAAGUCGGGCUUAGUGAUCCGGUGGUUCCGCAUGGAAGGGCCAUCGCUCAACGGAUAAAAGCUACCCUGGGGAUAACAGGCUUAUCUCCCCCAAGAGUCCACAUCGACGGGGAGGUUUGGCACCUCGAUGUCGGCUCGUCGCAUCCUGGGGCUGUAGUCGGUCCCAAGGGUUGGGCUGUUCGCCCAUUAAAGCGGCACGCGAGCUGGGUUCAGAACGUCGUGAGACAGUUCGGUCCCUAUCCGUCGCGGGCGUUGGAAAUUUGAGAGGAGCUGUCCUUAGUACGAGAGGACCGGGAUGGACUUACCGCUGGUGUACCAGUUGUUCUGCCAAGGGCAUUGCUGGGUAGCUAUGUAGGGAAGGGAUAAACGCUGAAAGCAUCUAAGUGUGAAGCCCACCUCAAGAUGAGAUUUCCCAUUUCUUUAAGAAAGUAAGAUUCCUGAGAGAUGAUCAGGUAGAUAGGUCAGGAGUGGAAGUACAGUGAUGUAUGGAGCGGACUGAUACUAAUCGAUCGAGGACUUAACC